GGGCCCGCACAAGCGGAGGAACAUGUGGUUUAAUUCGAUGAUACGCGAGGAACCUUACCCGGGCUCGAACGGUGCAGGAAUAUAUCAGAGAUGGUAUAGCUAGCAAUAGUCUGCAUCGAGGUGCUGCAUGGUUGUCGUCAGCUCGUGCCGUGAGGUGUCGGCUUAAGUGCCAUAACGAGCGCAACCCUUGUCGUUAGUUACCAUCAGGUUAUGCUGGGGACUCUAGCGAGACUGCCACCGUAAGGUGUGAGGAAGGGGGGAUGACGUCAAAUCAGCACGGCCCUUACGUCCGGGGCGACACACGUGUUACAAUGGCAGGUACAGAGGGAGCUACCCAGCGAUGGGGUGCGAAUCUCGAAAGCCUGUCUCAGUUCGGAUCGGAGUCUGCAACUCGACUCCGUGAAGUUGGAUUCGCUAGUAAUCGCGCAUCAGCCAUGGCG
rnacentral:rRNA from 1 species